GAUCCUGAAGCCUAUCUGGUGUCCAUCGACAGAGUUGAAGCAAACACAGAAGUGAAAAAUCUGAUUACCGGCACAGACCCCUGGAUAGGACUCAGUGACAUUGCUACGGAAGGUACCUUUGUUUGGACUGUUCCCCUAACCCCUGCCAUCCAAAACUUUGCCGACGGACAGCCUGACAGCACGAUUGACAAAGAAGACUGUGUGUACAUUGCACAAACUGAUGGAAAGUGGCACGCUGCUGACUGCAAUUUGCUGAAGCCAUAUGUUUGCAAGAGACUAGAUCCCACCAGCAUUGAAGGCUAAUCAUACAACACAUGAGUAAUCUAUGACUCUGUGUGCCAC